GACAGAGGGUGCAGACGUUGUUCGGAAUUACUGGGCGUAAAGCGCGUGUAGGCAGCUUGGCAAGUCGGGUGUGAAAGCCCUGGGCUUAACCUAGGAAGUGCACUCGAAACUGCUGGGCUUGAGUUCUGGAGAGGAAGGCGGAAUUCUCGGUGUAGAGGUGAAAUUCGUAGAUAUCGAGAGGAACAUCGGUGGCGAAGGCGGCCUUCUGGACAGUGACUGACGCUGAGACGCGAAAGCGUGGGGAGCAAACAGG
rnacentral:rRNA from 1 species